UCAAAGUGUUGUUUCUUACUGUGCUGCCCGACUUAUUCAGUACAGAAUAAGAUACUGCAAGUAGCUCUUUAGCAUCCAUUUGGAGGGAGGUGCAUCAAUUUGCCCUCUCUUUGUUCUUCCAUUCUAUUUGCAGGAGCCCAUGGACGUAGGUUUCAUGUAAAAUUCCACAUUCUAGGAGUAACCAUUUAGACAAGUUCAGCAAGGAUUCUGUGACUAUAUAAUGGUCAGACCAAGGCAGAACUGAUUCAUGCAGAGAUGAAGAUUUCACUCCUGGAUGCUUAGAGCAGUGCCUAGUCAUGAAACCAGAAUCUGACUCUUGUAUGAUUCGUUCUCAAACUGGGACUGCAGGUGUGGUGUGUGGAGGAGCAGCUGAAUGAUCUCUGUAUGAAAAAGCAAUAGUCAGAUGACUAUGCCUCUCCGUGGCAGCAUGCAUCCACAGGAUCCCUGUGAAGAGUAAAACCUGGCUCAGCAUGUGACACAGAACCUUCAAACUAAAGGUGAGUUGCCACCGGAGGACCUCACUGCACAGGACCAAGAAUAACUAUGCU
rnacentral:lncRNA from 1 species